GACGAACGCUGGCGGCGUGCUUAACACAUGCAGGUCGAACGGAAAGGCCCUGCUUUUGUGGGGUGCUCGAGUGGCGAACGGGUGAGUAACACGUGAGUAACCUGCCCUUGACUUUGGGAUAACUUCAGGAAACUGGGGCUAAUACCGGAUAGGAGCUCCUGCUGCAUGGUGGGGGUUGGAAAGUUUCGGCGGUUGGGGAUGGACUCGCGGCUUAUCAGCUUGUUGGUGGGGUAGUGGCUUACUAAGGCUUUGACGGGUAGCCGGCCUGAGAGGGUGACCGGCCACAUUGGGACUGAGAUACGGCCCAGACUCCUACGGGAGGCAGCAGUGGGGAAUAUUGCACAAUGGGCGGAAGCCUGAUGCAGCAACGCCGCGUGCGGGAUGACGGCCUUCGGGUUGUAAACCGCUUUCGCCUGUGACGAAGCGUGAGUGACGGUAAUGGGUAAAGAAGCACCGGCUAACUACGUG
rnacentral:rRNA from 1 species